rnacentral:pre_miRNA from 1 species
CUUCUGCUUCUCUUUUUUCUUCUUUUUCUUCUCCUUUCUUUGUGACCUAAGCACCCCGUGCGGCGAUGGUCUUGAGAGGAAGGAGGAGAAAGGGAAAAAAAGAGAAGCAGGAG